UUGCUACUUAUCUAGAAAUUUAAAAUAUAAAUUAAUAAAGCAUCUUUAAAUAGAGUUAAACUGUCUUUUAAACGUAAAUUUUUAUCUUUGCUAUUAAAUAUUAUUUUGUCUAGUUAAUAUUUUUAAAUAUAUUUUUAUCACCUCUCUCGGCGAUUCGUGUGUAUCACGCUAAAAUAUAAAGCAUAAAAAAAAUACAUCACGAGUUCACAUUAAUUAAGUUCUUCUUGACCAAGUUUCUACAUCGUUGCAACAUAUUUAUUAUUCAUUCCCACAAACGAUAUAUCGUUGUCUCGUUUGUCUUCGAAUGACCCGGCGUUGACGAUGGCACCUGUCCGUGUGUCAUGCGGGUGCAUAACACGUCACGUGGGCACACUGGUUGUCGGUGCGUAGAUAGAUUGCACGUGACAGCUCGGCUUCCUGACGAUCGGCGUUGGGCGAAAAGUGGGGUCAUCGUGCUUUAAACCGUGCGCCGUGAAAACGUCGUGACUCGUUUUGUCCUCGGCCAGUCACGAUUGCGAUCAAAUCUACCUACUUCUGAAUCGACCGACCGACCGACCGCCACGCCGCAGUCUGACCAUCGCGGAAGCUUUUGAUCUAAAGUCCAAUAAACAGGAUCGAUGUUAACUCAACAAAUCUGCCAUCACGCUGCUUCGGCUCGUUCUGAUGUUUUUUCCUGGUCCUGUGUCACUUAACAACCUUUCGUCGUGAUUCUUCUGAUACACAGAAGCGAAAAGAGAAGAAUUCGAAAAUAAUUCUACAUGAAUGAAGAUGCAUGAAAUGAUACAGUCAAAUACAAUAGGGCGAUAGCUAUAUGGUGGGCGGAAUUUUAUUUACCGAGAACUGCUAGCGGGGAUUGAACUACACCUCCUACCACUGUCUCGCAAUGAAGGAAGACAACCUCCACAACCUUUUCCAAUUACAGGCACGAGAUUGUGUCGCGGUACGGUAUUGGCCCGACCUAGCCAGACCGUCUGGCUUUAAAAGUAACUGUGGAAAUAAUUAAGGAAUUCGCAAAAUUAAAAAUCUAUCCUAUCCAACACAUUGCGGCGAAGUUGCGGCAAUCCUCUCACGAUUUCCCGCUCUUUCUACUUCUCAUCUUAUUAUAAGAUGUAUUAAAAGUGCAAUGAAAAAAAUCCGUCUACCUAUCGCGAAGCUUAUACCGUAAAGCCUAACGUAUUUACCAUAUCGAAAGUUUGCAUCUUUCAUUAAUAACUCAAUUACAAUCAUAUACCGACAGGUUAUUAAUGAUUUCUAGCCCUUUGAAAGUUAUUUGAUUUUUUACGUCUGUUUUUAAUAUUUUUCAUCGACAGUCUACUCAUCAAGCGUUAUAGCUUAUGCUUAUGCAAGCAGAGAUAAUCAAUAGCGAAUUAUUACCUCUUGAAUUAUUUCUGACAAUAAUUGAUCCUGUUUACUCGUCUGUUUACUCGUCUAAUUUGCAACAAUAUGAGUUAGAUUAUUGACUUUUGUUUUUUUCUAAAUAAGAUAAAAUUGAGUAGUAGGUAUUUAAUACUGCUUUAUAUUAAUGCUUGUAAAACGGAAUCCAAAUUUGAUGCCAACGAAUUUCACGUAGAUGAAAUGGAGCGUUAAGCGAUAGUAGCGCGAUAAAAUGAAUUUUGGCAUACUCUUCCGCGAUCGCUUCGAUUCCUAUUCAAGGGGUCCUUAUUCUCCCUCAGGAACGUAGAAUCGUCUGCGUGGUCUCUGGAAGUCGGCAAAGUUUUAUUGAUCGAAGCUGCGUACGUGAUCGGAAUAGAAAUCGCUGCACCUCGAUCGCGCGCUCGCGGAUCACUUUAUAGAUGUGUAAGCGACGAUAUAAUGUAAAGCUUUUUUCUUGAACAAAUUAAAUGUCUUUGCACCAAAAAAAUGUUUUUAGUAAAAUAAGUUGAAAAUAUGUAUUUUA